rnacentral:rRNA from 1 species
UGAGCGGAGAUAUAUGGAGCUUGCUUUAUAUAACUUAGCAGCGAACGGGUGAGUAACACGUAGAUAAUCUAUCCUAUACUGGGGGAUAGCCCGAUGAAAGUUGGAUUAAUACCGCAUAUAGCUAUAUAGUUGCAUGAUUAUGUAGUGAAAGAUUUAUUGGUAUAGGAGGAGUCUGCGGCACAUUAGCUAGUAGGUGAGGUGAAGGCUUACCUAGGCGACGAUGUGUAGCCGGUCUGAGAGGAUGAACGGCCACAAUGGAACUGAGACACGGUCCAUACUCCUACGGGAGGCAGCAGUGGGGAAUAUUGCACAAUGGGGGAAACCCUGAUGCAGCAACGCCGCGUGAGUGAAGAAGGUUUUCGGAUUGUAAAGCUCUGUUAGCAGGGAAGAGGAAGGACGGUACCUGCAGAGGAAGCCACGGCUAACUACGUGCCAGCAGCCGCGGUAAUACGUAGGUGGCAAGCGUUGUUCGGAAUAACUGGGCGUAAAGGAUGCGUAGGCGGUUAAACAAGUUAUAUGUUAAAUAUAUAGGCUUAACCUGUAGAAAGCAUAUAAAACUGUUUAACUAGAGUGCAGGAGAGGUAAGUGGAAUUCCUAGUGUAGCGGUGAAAUGCGUAGAGAUUAGGAAGAACACCAGUGGCGAAGGCGACUUACUGGACUGUAACUGACGCUGAGGCAUGAGAGCAUGGGGAGCAAACAGGAUUAGAUACCCUGGUAGUCCAUGCUGUA